rnacentral:rRNA from 1 species
UACGUAGGGUGCGAGCGUUAUUCGGAAUUACUGGGCGUAAAGCGUGCGCAGGCGGUUUUGUAAGCCAGAUGUGAAAUCCCCGGGCUCAACCUGGGAAUGGCAUUUGGGACUGCAAGGCUUGAGUGCGGCAGAGGAGACUGGAAUUCCUGGUGUAGCAGUGAAAUGCGUAGAUAUCAGGAGGAAUACCGAUGGCGAAGGCAGGUCUCUGGGCUGACACUGACGCUCAUGCACGAAAGCGUGGGGAGCAAACAGG